rnacentral:misc_RNA from 1 species
UCCGGUUUGUCACCGGCAGUCUCAUUAGAGUGCCCUUUCGUAGCAACUAAUGACAAGGGUUGCGCUCGUUGCGGGACUUAACCCAACAUCUCACGACACGAGCUGACGACAGCCAUGCAGCACCUGUGUUCGCAUUCCCUUUCGAGCACACCAAACUCUCAUCUGGCUUCCGGGCAUGUCAAGGGUAGGUAAGGUUUUUCGCGUUGCAUCGAAUUAAUCCACAUCAUCCACCGCUUGUACGGGCCCCCGUCAAUUCCUUUGAGUUUUAAUCUUGCGACCGUACUCCCCAGGCGGUCAACUUAAUGCGUUAGCUGCGGCACUGAUCGGGUCAAUCCGACCAACACCUAGUUCACAACGUUUAGGGCGUGGACUAC